AGAUUGAACGCUAGCGGGAUGCUUUACACAUGCAAGUCGAACGGCAGCGCGGACUUCGGUCUGGCGGCGAGUGGCGAACGGGUGAGUAAUAUAUCGGAACGUGCCCAGUAGCGGGGGAUAACUACGCGAAAGCGUGGCUAAUACCGCAUACGCCCUACGGGGGAAAGGGGGGAUUCUUCGGAACCUCUCACUAUUGGAGCGGCCGAUAUCAGAUUAGCUAGUUGGUGAGGUAAAGGCUCACC
rnacentral:rRNA from 1 species